UGGGGAAUUUUGGACAAUGGGCGAAAGCCUGAUCCAGCAAUGCCGCGUGUGUGAAGAAGGCCUUCGGGUUGUAAAGCACUUUUGUCCGGAAAGAAAUCCUUGGCUCUAAUACAGUCGGGGGAUGACGGUACCGGAAGAAUAAGCACCGGCUAACUACGUGCCAGCAGCCGCGGUAAUACGUAGGGUGCAAGCGUUAAUCGGAAUUACUGGGCGUAAAGCGUGCGCAGGCGGUUUGCUAAGACCGAUGUGAAAUCCCCGGGCUCAACCUGGGAACUGCAUUGGUGACUGGCAGGCUAGAGUAUGGCAGAGGGGGGUAGAAUUCCACGUGUAGCAGUGAAAUGCGUAGAGAUGUGGAGGAAUACCGAUGGCGAAGGCAGCCCCCUGGGCCAAUACUGACGCUCAUGCACGAAAGCGUGGGGAGCAAACAGGAUUAGAUACCCUGGUAGUCCACGCCCUAAACGAUGUCAACUAGUUGUUGGGGGAUUCAUUUCCUUAGUAACGUAGCUAACGCGUGAAGUUGACCGCCUGGGGAGUACGGUCGCAAGAUUAAAACUUAAAGGAAUUGACGGGGUCAUAGCUGUUUCCU
rnacentral:rRNA from 1 species